AGUUAGGGUUAUUGUACUUUUUAACUUUUGUAGAAGGCCUUGUUUUAAAUUUUAUUAUAGAAAUAAAAUUAACUUUCUUGCCCCUUAUCUGUGUUUUGUUAUGUUGUUUUAACUUUAUCCCUUUCUUUCCCUCCUAGGUUAAAAUUCUCAGUUAUAUUUACGUUUAACUUCAUUUUUUUUUAUCUAAUAAACAUUUUGAAAUAUUUUGAACUCUGUCUCUGCCUCUUCAGAACUUACCUGUGUUGCCUUUAUUCUUAUUUUAGCUUCCUGUUUUAGUUUGAAAGUUCAGUUUCCUGGGGUGCAAGUCCCCAGGUGGCGUUGCUGGUUGGAGACAAUAUUCUCUAUUUUUGAAUAAAAUAGCACCCCCUUGCCACAGUAUGAAUCAAUGGACCAUGGUAAAGCACCUUGAGUGAGCAGUGUGUGGUUGGAAAAGCAAUAUAUGAUUGUGAUCCAUUAUUUAUUAUAAAACUGAAUCUGAUGAGGCAACAUGCGAAACAUGUGCUCACCCUGUUUUAACUCUUUUUAACUCUAUUUUUCACUGUAAUCCAUUAAUGGGCCGGUGAGGGCUGCGGACACCCUCUGGAUGGCGCCACACACUGUAGCUUAGCUUAAAUGUUCUGCGUCGCCAACAGUAUAUAAAUAUGUACCCAACGCAUAAAAGCGAAGGGCGAUACACACACUCUGUGGGACCGUUAGCGCACAGCUUCUACGAGUGUCGCGAGCCAGGUAUGGCUCUAAAAGCUGGCAGAUGUACACCAACCCCUCCCUGGAAAACCGGUACCUUUCAUAAAGGCGGUCAUCCGAAAGAGUCAGUGGGUCAGUGCGGUCCCUGAAAACUCUCACACGCCGAAGUGAUCCUCGGACAAUGCAAGCACCGAGGUGUACAUGAUCCUCCAAGAAUGGACAAGCCAUUUUUCGAGAGAGCUCAUUGGUCAGUGGGUAGGGUUUUUAUACCCGGUGAGUUCAAUCUGGAACCUAACCUGCCCCGGAGCAGGUUAGCCGUUCAGCAUAUGUUGCCAUGGAGACUCACCUCGCUAAGAAGUGAACCCGCGUCGUAAAACAGGAAACCCCGAACUUACCCUCGAAGUUACCUCACAACAGGCCCCUGAUUGCCACACCUCCCUGUUGUCAAACAGAUGCCAUACAGACAUAGUCGGAUUGAGUUGGUUGAUAGAGUUUCACUUUCUGUACUAUAAAUAAAACGUUAAUCUACUUAAUAAAAGGAUUUUUAUUUUAUACAGACAGAUCGCCCUCCUUAUUCAUUAGAAUGAAUUAAAUCUUUGUCAUCCUGUAGUUGUUUCUCCUUGCCUUCAUCUUUCUUUGACCCUUUAUAGAACACAUGAAGGUGAUCACAGACUUAGGGCAAUAAUUAAUUAAUUAAUUAAUUAAUGUAACAUUAAUCAAUUAAUUCAAUAGUUCCCCAACUAAUAUACAAUCAGAUAAACUUUACUUAUCCCUUAUAGGUCGAUUGAAUUUGGACUGCUUUACUUUGAUUACCUUGUGAAGACACUGAAAAGAUUUAAGUGCAUGCACAACUGCAUUAAUGAUCCUGAUUACCUUCAGCCUUUAUCUUCUUCAAUUUCUGUGUCGUAAUCAAAAAGAUCAAGAGAUGUCUGAAGACAGUAAUGCCACACGAUGGCGACAGAAGGCAGCCCCUCGACAAGUGUCGCUGCAAGUGCUGCAGAGGGUGUCCUCCACACUUUCUCAAAUAAGCAGAGAGGGAUUUGGUGUGUGUAAGGUUGUACCCACCGGUAAGACAAACACCCGUUUUCACAAAUAAAGACAAUCACAUUAAGUUGCAUAUAUUUAAACCCCACGUGACAAAGGUGGGUUGUGUGCAAAGAUCAGAACAUAAAUUCCAAUAAUGGCAUUAAAAUUGGAACCACCUGUGCGUAAAGGAUGCAUCUCGCUCCAUGGCCUGGCUCUUUCUUUCAUAGAUGUUGGCAGAUAAAAUAAAUUUGGCCCACAAAACUGAAUUUUAUAAUAUUCGUUUGUGGGCCUGACUCUGGAUUGAAUAUUUACAGAAUUUUAAGGAUGUAAAAUCAUCGGAUACGGGUAAUUUUGAAUGAAAGUUUCUUUCAUUUAUUUUUGUUCAAAUUUUCUAAGUAAAUAACUCAUCAGAUCACUAAUAUAAAUCAUUUGGUCAGCAUUAGCAUCAGCAGGACGGGGACAGAACAUAUGAAAGGGUUGUGCCCACAGAUCACAACAUAAAUUCUAAUAAUGGCAUUAAAAUCAGAACCACCUGUGCGUAAAGGACGGAUCGCGCUCCGUGGCCUGGAUCUCCCUUUCAUUGAUGUUGGCAUACGAGAUGAUUUUAGCUCACACAACUGAAUAUUAUAAUGUUCGUAUUUGAGCCUAACUCCGAAUUGAACAUUCACAGAAUUUUAGGUAUAUGGGGACAUUAGAUAAACAGGUAAUUUUGAAUGAAAGUUUCUUUUACUUUUUUGUUCAAAUUUUGAAGCAAAUAAUUCAUCUGACCACUAAAAUAAAUCAUCUGUUCAGCCUUGCUGCUGCAGCAUCGGGAAGGCCAGAGGACACGGAGACACGUCCGAGUCGAGCUGCGCGAGAAAAAGGAGGAAGAGGGAAAGGGGGACAAUUGAAAUAUCUUGUUCACUUCAUCAUGUGUGACUGUUUUCUGGAUAUUUAAUUUGAUGCAGUUUCAGCUGUGUUGAUUUGGUCAGUUUUUUUGUCCAAACGCGUGCCAAUUGCGCUUACCGGAUCAGAUGUAGAUCAGAAUAUAUCUAUAGAUCUAAAUGUGUGUGCUGAUUCAGAAUAUUAGCUGUUGAUUAUUUUUCGCACUGAAAUGUGGCUGACACUGUGGAAACCUGCCGGUGAGGAAUCGGUGAUGUAUGCGCAUUUUGUCGCCGGUCUACCAAAAUACUACUAGACCAGCUGCGCUCCGCCAGCGCUGAAAGCUGACCAGUUUUGAAUUGGCGAGCUUUCAGCGCACUUUACGCGCCACAGGCGAGUGCGAAAAUGUCACUGCGCCAGCUGAUUCUGUCGACACCUCCCUUUGCCUUGCCCAGCUUGGUGGACCUCGGUGCGCCUCAGUCCACGAAAAUACCAAACUGGCUGUACGCCGGGCUCCACUAGAUGAAAAUACCACUGCGCGGGGUCCGCCACCCUCGGACAUGAAAAUAGAGCCCUAUGGCUUAGACAAUAAGAACAGUACUCUUAGUAUCAAGAUAAAGAAUGAAAAUAUCAGUGUAUGAUUUUUACCAGACAACAGAUUUAUUUGGCCUCCUCCGUGCAGGGAUGUGCUGAUUUAUGCAGCACAGAUGAGUCAGUGAUGUGGAUAUGACACAUUUGUAGCCUCGCUCAAGUGGUGUUCCAGUUUCCUUGCAUAUUUCCCAUGCUGACUAAGCUGGAAACCUCUCAGACACAGACACCGUAUUUCCUCCUUUUGUACUCCCUGUGAGCUCUGUGUCAAAUCUGACGUCAAAUUUAAAAAUGGAAGAUAAAUACUCCCAAACUUACUGGUGUACCAGAGUUUGCUGACUUUGUUUGUUUUUAGGUAGCUUUCCUUUCCAUUACUAAGCUGGCACAGUUUAUUUUUCCCUCCAAUUAUUAUGAACAGUGUUCCUGUUCUUUCCUUCUUAACAGAGUGUGCUGCAGACUAGGAACUUUGCCAUAAAGAACAACACAGGUGUGAUAUUUCCAUCCUACCUGACCUGAGCUUGUAACUUUUUAUUGUUCCUCGUCAUACUGCUGAUUUUUCUGCUUUUAGUCCCCUAAUCCCUUUAAACCCUUUAUACUAGGGUUUGGCUCCUGGCUGAAAGACUAAGGAUGAAAUAUGAUAAAAGGAGUCACUUAGUCAGUCCUAUGAUAGAAUUUUUUUUUUUGUUUCAUCCAAAAAGCCAAUGAGAAGGCUAAAACCAAAAAAAUGUGCUUGUAGUUCUUUAAUCAGUUUUCAUUUACCUCAUCUGAGGCACUUAACCAAAACACAACAGCACAAUAGAAACACAAAUAUCCCAGUUUGAGAAGCAGCAAAGCAGCUGUUCCCCAGUCCUAAUACCUCAAACUCCGGACUGCCAAACUACUUCGUAGGUACUGUCACCUGUUGAAAGGUGUGUCUCAGUUCCUUGAAGCGAUGUUUCCUCAGUCCACAGUCAAACUGAAAGUACUUACAUACCUGUCAUGUUGAGGAGUGCCCCAAAGUCUUUAUUGCAGCUGAGAGGAUCAAGGGCAGAGGACAUAUAUCAGAGGAGUGUUAUGUGAAGGUACAUACAUGAGAGCAGUCUUUAGGAAUUCUUUUAAAUGACGUACACAUGUAUUGAAUAUUAUUUACUGAGUGGACGCUGCAGCUGGUCGGUGAAACUUCACAUGGAAAAAGGACAGACCUUUAAACAUACACAAGCAUCAUAAACACUUUCUGAACUAUCAAACUGUGAUAAACUGGAAUAAAAAAGUGUGUUCAUCCUCAGUAUUGAUAUUGAACUAUUGAGCAUAACCAUAAUAAAAACAAUAAAACAGGGUAUCGCUCCACAGUGACAGAAGUAAUUAAACAUACAGUCAGAUAUAAUCAGUGUGAUGGCAUUCUUCUUUACACUUCCUGUAAUUUCUCUUGGGUUUUUUUUUUUUUUGUUUGUUUGUUUGUUUUUUUAGUAUGAAUGAAUUUCGUUUAAGAGAAAGGAAUCAAUACGUGUUACAUUUACUGUCAAUAGAAUGUAGGAAUAUAAAGCAAGACCAUUUUUUCCACUUUCCUCCUCCCUCCAUCUCUCCAUGCAUCUCUUGGGGCAGGGGGCCAGGAUGCAAGAAAAGGAUGCAAGGGUAAGAUGCAUGAAAUUAGAUGUGCCUCUAAAAAAACAACGCAGCUCUGUAGGAUAGAGAUUUGAGGUAUUUUAGGCUUUGGUUACACAGAAAUUAUUAUUGGUCAUGACUGAGAUGCUAAAGGAUAUCAUCAGCCUCAUCUUAAAUCUAAAAUCCCUUUCAAGUUUUUGCCCACUGGGGGGCAGACUACCUUUGACAAACAGGACCAGCUCUCAUUUAAAAUCAGAAUCCAGUAUCUCUGUCCUUUCGACCCUGUUGGUCUCAUACUUGUUGACUGGUGAGUCUAACCACUGUGCACACCCUUGGCAUGGACCUCCUUAGCCUGUGGCCUAACAAAUAUGAAUUUAUGGUGCAUGUGGUUCAAGACUGACCCACAAAAACAGAUUCUUGGAUGCAGUAAGGGGGCCAAAGAGAGGGUGAGAGAGGAAUGUUUGGCAUAUGGGGAUGAUAUGUCUAGUUUACAAGGACUUAUAGAUGAUGGAAGUCCUCAAGAGUAGAUGUGAAUUAAAUCCUCAGUCAAAUGUCACUCUGACACAGACCAAGACUCCGAUAGCAUCAUUCCUGACAUCAUCUUAACUGUGUCUAUUUCUGUACUCCUUUGUUUCUUCAAUGUUUGUUUCUUCAGAUUACAAUCUCCUCUUUUACUCUCUGUCGUGCCUUAUUGGGACUUUGUUUAUCUUGUCUUUCUGAACUGUUCUUAAGGAUCUUCUCUCUCUCUUCUAUCCUCCUUAUCAAAAACUCCUCCUCUCACAGAUCUGUCAUUAAUCUUCUGAUCCAGACUAAAGGCUCUUUCUGCCAAGACUCCCAACAAGUGCCAAAUAUGCUGCAGCAGAAGGUAGCCACAUCAUGCAAAAGGAAGGCUGAGCGCUGGAGAUUGUUUAUGUGCUUUUAAUAUCUUUUAGAGGCAAAUGUUCUGAUCAGAUUACAGACAGAUCUCUUCAAUAGAUUCAAAAUUAGCUGAACAUAAUGGCUCAGCCUGCACACCUCCUCCUAUCUGUCUCUGUACUUUAUACAAUAACAGGAAUUUGUCAAACUGCUUUAGGCUAAAUUAAACCUACACCAAGUGUUUUGUCAGACAGGUUACUUCAUGUCCCAGGGUAGAUUUACAUGUCCUCUUAUUAAACCAGUUUUAUUUUUCACUGUCUGUAUCAAACUAUGGACGGGGCAUCUGCAUCACCUCCUACUUUGAGAAUAGGCCUCUUUGACUGAGGGGGCAAACUUUUGCAAUGCGUGCACUGAAGUGUCAUGCAGUUGUAUAUUCUUGUUUAUAUUCAGAAUAGAUAAGAUAUAAUCACAAGAAAACAUGAUAUAAUCAAAUGGAAAGAAAACAAGUACAUCUUGGACAUUUCAGGGUAUUUACUAAACUAGCUAUCUUGUAACUUGAGUUGUGUAUUUGUCUUAAGGUUGCACCACGUGGGAAUGAGGCUCAUCUCAACAAGCAGGGCACAAACUGACCAAAAUAACUUUUUAACUUUUAUGAAACCAACUACCAUUAGCUCCUGUCAAUCAGCUAACAGAAAUGUCAAAUAUGAAACCGUUACAGUGAUAUUUAAUCUACAGCCAGUGUAAAAUAUCUGUGACAUUGGGAGGUGAUUUCACCAACUUUAACUACAACUCAGUGCUUCUGUAUUGUGGUGCUGUGGUAUUGUGAAAAACAAAGUGCCAUCACAACACAGCCCUUCAUCCAGGAAAGCCUUCUACUUUCUCCACCUUAAAGUUACACCAUCUUUCAAAUCAACACACCAGAGCAGCCAAUAUUUUACGGAAAACUUCACAUCUGCCUGGAGCAAGGAGUAAGAAAAAGUUGUUCUCGAGUGGUGCAACCUCUAAAAUAUAUGAGCUAUAUGUCUGUAACAAUAGACUGUACGUAGAAUGGAUGCCGUCUGCCUCCUCGCUGGGGGAAGCCACCGCGGUAACAGCACCCUCUGGUGAUGGGCUGCAGUAUAGGUCAUGAAUCCCGCCUCCUCCAGCAAUCCCUAUGGGGCUGUGGACAAACUUUAGAAAUUUAUUACACAGAAUAUAAAUUUUUCGCCCCCAUGGUUGUGAUGUUGACAUGUAGAACUGUAAGACUGGUUUGUGCUCAAGUCAGCCCCAUCGCCAGACAGAUUUCAUUGGGGCACGUGCCCCAGUAUUGAUCUACAGUGCCCCAGUAAAAAUUUCACCAAUAAAAAAAAAUCACUUCAGAGUUUUAAGUCUACAUAGCAUAGACUACAGCGCAUACACCACUUAGUAUGGUAAUUCAGUGCUACUGUAUUCACCCCACAUAAACAAUGUGCACAUGGCUAAUUAAUAUGGUAAUUUAUUCAUGUGUAGGGACUUCGGUUGAUAAUACUUCCUUGUCAACUAGAGGUCAAGAGAAAGAGCGAGGCAGGCGAUGGGAAUAACUGUGUGAGGUAGGUAAUAUUAGCCAACA